rnacentral:sRNA from 1 species
CUUCCGUAGGGUGAACCUGCGGAAGGAUCAUUACAAGUGAGGCUACCGAACGUUGGAAACAGCGGUUAGGAGCUUACACCCACCCGUGUCUACAUACUAUUGUUGCUUUGGCGGGCCGUGGCCUCCACUGCGGGCUCUGCUCGUGUGUGCCCGCCAGAGAACCAAACUCUGAAUGUUAGUGAUGUCUGAGUACUAUCUAAUAGUUAAAACUUUCAACAACGGAUCUCUUGGUUCUGGCAUCGAUGAAGAACGCAGCGAAAUGCGAUAAGUAAUGUGAAUUGCAGAAUUCAGUGAAUCAUCGAAUCUUUGAACGCACAUUGCGCCCUGUGGUAUUCCGCAGGGCAUGCCUGUUCGAGCGUCAUUUAACCACUCACGCCUAGCGUGGUAUUGGGGCACGCGGUCUCCGCGGCCCUCAAAAUUAGUGGCGGCGCCGGUGGGCUCUAAGCGUAGUACAUACUCCCGCUAUAGAGUUCCCCCGGUGGCUCGCCAGAACCCCCAAUUGUUACAGGUUGACCUCGGAUCAGGUAGGGAUACCCGCUGAACUUAAGCAUAUCAAUAAGCGGAGGAA